UUAACUCAGAUAAAUCUGAUUAGUUUCAAAUUAUUUUCUGUAAUCCUAUCUUUGACUCAUUCUUUUAAUUAAAAAAAAAAUUUAAAGUAAAUUAAGCCUUUCCUUUCAGCGGAAAGCCAUAGCAAGAUGGCUGUGCAAAUUUCCAAGGAGAGGAAGUUGGUCAUUGAAGGCAUCUUCAAAGCUGAACUGAAUGAGUUUGUUACUCAGGAGCUGGCUGAAGAUGGCCACUCUGGAGUUGACGGCCAGGUUACACCAACCGGGACAGAAAUCAUUAUCUUACCACCAGAACACAAAUGUUGUUGGUGAGAAUGGCCAGCGGAUUCUGGAACUGACUGCUGUAGUUCAGAAGAGGUUUGGCUUUCCAGAGGGUGGUGGAGACCUUUAUGCUGAAAAGGUGGCCACGAGAGGCCUGAGAGGCCUCUGCGCCAUUGCCAAGGCAGCGUCUCUGCAUUACAAUCUCCUGUGAGGGCUUGCUGUGCAGAGGGCCUGCUGUGGUGUGCCAUGGUUCAUCAUGGAGAGUGGGGCCAAAGGCUGCAAGGUCAUGGUGUCCGGGAAACUCUGAGGACAGAGAGCUAAAUCCAUGAAGUGUGUGGAUGGCCUGAUGAUCCACAGCGGAGACCCUGUUAGCUACUACAUUGACACUGCCAUGCGCCAUGCGUUGCUCAGACAAGGUGUGCUGGGCAUCAAGGUGAAGACCAUGCUGCCCUGGGACCCAACUUGUAAGACUGGCCCUAAGAAGCCCUGCCUGACCACGUGAGCAUCAUGGAACCCAAAGAUGAGAUACUGCUCACCACCUGCAUCUCAGAACAGAAGGAUGGGAAGCCAGAGCUGCCUGCCAUGCCCCAGCCAGUCCCCACACAUAACAGGGUCUCCUUGGCAGCUGUUUUCUGGAGUCUGGAUGUUGCUCUGUAAAGACCUUUAAUACAAUCUUGUCCAAAGUAAAUAAAAAAAUAAAUAAAAAGUAACUUAAAAAAUAACAGAGCUCGCCAGCCCCUUAGAGCACAUCUUGGUCUAGGGUAGUUUCUUUAGCAGAGUUUUCUGUAGAUACAGACAUGUGUUCACAAAGUAUCUUUAGGUUUCCCAGGCCCAGAGGGGGCAGGAUAAUACUAAGGGAGGGAGGUCUUCUCUGGGAGGAGAGACCUGCUCUAACCAGCCCUGUAGCUCUGCAGCUCUGCAAAUCUUUGGGGCUUUGUCCUCAUCUGUAAAUAGGGAUGAAGCUUGUCCAAUUUACCUCAUUCAGUUAUAAUGUGCAUCAGAUGAAAUGACAUUUGUAAAAACAACUUGAAAAUACAACAUGAUGUAAGCAGGUAUUUAGUUGUCAAGCUCUAAGUCCUGAAGCCUCGUUUAUAAUAACAACAGUAAUAACAAUAACAAUACAGGCCGGGUGCAGUGGCUCACACCUGUAACCCCAGCACUUUGGGAGGCUGAGGCAUGCAGAUCACGAGGUCAGGAGUUCAAGAUCAGCCUGGCCAAUAUGGUGAAACCCCAUCUCUACUACAAAUACAAAAAUUAGCCAGGUGUGGUGGCACGUGCCUGUAGUCUCAUCUACUCGGGAGGCUGGGGCAGAAGAAUCACUCAAACCGGAGAUGUAGAGGCUGCAGUGAGCCGAGAUCAUGCCACUGUACCCAGCCUGGGCCACAAAGUGAGACUGUAAAAUAAUAAUAUUGUAAAAUAAUAAUAAUACAAUAACAAAGGAAGAAAUAAAAGGAGGAUGUGUAACGUGGCAAGGAGGGAAGGAAAAAUGAAGAAAGAAGAAAAGAAACCUACUGAAGAUAGCCAAGGAAAUAGCUUUUCUUCUCAGAUGCAGACUUGAGGGCUUUCAAAAUAAUGGAAAUUACACUUCACGAUAAAAUAAUCCCAAUGGUCAUUGUCAUUAGAAUUCAGAACAAUAUUUAUAUGGUUCUCUGUGGUGAGUCAACAAUUAUUUUCGAUGGAAGCCACAGGGCUUCAAUUUUCAGAGUUUAAAUAAUAAACAUAGCGACACCACCAAAGAAACAUUCAUUAAAUAUCAAUAUAAAAUACAGGGGAAGAAAAAGAGAAAAACAGCAAGCUGCUCAUUGCAGUGUUUCCGACUGAGACUCUGUUCCGCAAACCCUGGGGGAGCAGCAUGGAUUGAGCUGUUACUUGAAGCUUGGGUUAAACACAGUAGACUUUCCAGGGCAGAUCAAGUCAAUUUAUAUUCUGAAAACCUGGCACUGCCUAAGAAGAUGCAAACCCAUCUGACAGAAGCUUUGCAGGAGUGUAGUUAAUGCCAUAAAAGGGUGCUCAGAGACUCACCCAUAGAGACUUUCUGAUAGCUGAUGCCAGGGACAGCAAAAAGCGAAUGUUCGGUGGGGUCGUUAACCAAGCCCCUCUCAGUUCUUCUUGAGCCCAUCCUCCGCUCACUGGUCCCCGUUUUAUAACCAUGCUCAAGGAGCCUAGGCUUCUCUGCUUCUCUUCCAACAUGCUCACUGUCACUACUUUAUCCAUUCUGUACUGUUGCAGGCUGAAGGGGACAUUCCACUUAGAGGGAUCCACAGAUUCGAAAGGCUGCUUGGGGAGGGCAGCACAGUAAGCUACAAGAACUUUGCCAUCAAGACAGGUCUGGAUUUAAGUCCCAAUUUCUGCAUGUGGUAACCAGUCUGCAAGAGAGCCUGCAAUGAUUCCUGCCCCUCAUAUUCACGUCCUUGUUAGUUCCCUUACACAGUGACUCAGGGCUGGCUCUGGGUGACCAAUAGAAUACGGAGGAAGUGAUGGAGUAUGAAUUCCAAGGCUAGGUCACAGAAGGCAUUGUACCUUCCACCUCUUAGAUCUCUCUCUAGGGAAGCCAGCCACCACUCUGCAAGGACUCUCAAGCAGCUCCAUCUACAGACUCACAUGGAGAAGAAUUAAGGGCUCCUACCAAUCACAGCACCACUUUGGCAGCCUUGUAAGUGAGACACCUUAGAACAGGAGCCUCCAGCUCCGACUGACAUUUGACUGCAACGUCAUGAGAGACCCUGAGUUUGAACCACCCAGCUGAGCUGCUUCUGAGCUAACCCACUGAAACCAUGAGACAUUAUCAGUAUUGUUUUAAAUCCUAAAUUUGGGAGUGAUAUGUUACAUAGCCAUAUUAACAAGUAUGUCUUUAUGUGAUGGAUUACUAUUGUUCAUUUGCAUAUCUUGGACCAGCCUUGUAUGCCAGGGAUGAAGCCAACUUGAUCGCGGUUUUGGUAUCAGGAUGAUGCUGGCCUUAUAGAAUGAGUUAGGGAGGAGUCUCUCCUUUUCAAUUAUUUGGAAUAGUUUCAGAAGAAAGGAUAUCAGCUCCUCUUUGUAUUUCUGGUAGAAUUCAGCUGUGAAUCCAUCUGGUCCUGGGCUUUUUUUGGUCGACAGUCGGCAGCUGUGUGAAGACGGGAAUAGAGGAGGCAUGGUAGGCAGCCACAGCUUGGAUUCUCUGCAGCCCUGGGGAACGUGGCCACCAUGAUGUCUUCCCACCAUGAUGACUUCACCCCACCCCUUUCUGGUGACCCCUGCUGUCGCCCUCACAGGUUCCUCAGGUCCUGAGAGGCGGAGGUGGGCCAGCAGAAGGUGAGCUUGGGAAGGCAGCCCGGGUUCGGUCCAAAUCCUUCCGGCUCUUCAACUUGGCGGGUUAGUUAACAUUCAGAAGCCUUCAUCCCCCGUCCGCAAAAUGGGCAUGAACGACUCAGAAUGCUGCCUUGAAGAAAGGAUCUACCCAGCAUGGUGCGUGGAGCCCAAGCAAUUGGUACUUCAGGUCUUCAACCUGCCCCUUUCCAAUGACCCUGCUGUCGCCCUCGCAGGUGUCAUCCUCGGUGUCUGAACGCUGGGUUUGAUGCGUCUGGAAAGGCGCCCCUCACAGGCCUCAUUGCCGGGAGCCCCUAGUGCCACCAGCAGCCAGCAGGGAGCGCGUCCUCCGCCCGCCCACUUCUGCUCCUCUCGCAGCAGGGCUGGUGACCUUAGGACAGAAUGACUCUAAACGCGCUCCAGCCCGCGGUGUGAUCAUUCCCUGAUGUGAAAGCUUCAACCGCAGUCUCAAAAUGAGCUCUUCCAAGGCAUAAAAUAAUCAGUUAAAAAUAUUAUGGGUUGCCAGGCGCGGUGGCUCACACCUAUAAUCCCAGCACUUUGGGAGGCCAAGGAGGGUGGAUCACGAGGUCAAGAGAUCGAGACCAUCCUGGUCAACAUGGUGAAACCCUGUCUUUACUAAAAAUGCAAAAAUUAGCUGGGCGUGGUGGCGUUCGCCUGUAGUCGAAACUACUUGGGAGGCUGAGGCAGGAGAAUCGCUUGAACCCAGGAGGUGGAGGUUGUGGUGAGCCGAGAUCACGCCAUUGCACUCCAGCCUGGGUAACAAGAGCGAAACUCCGUCUCAAAAAAAAGAAAGAAAGAAAAUAUUAUGGGUUGUAAAGAUGUUGGCUCCGGAGAAGAGUGAGACCCAGAACGCGGUGCAGCUGCAAGCACCCUGGGCUGCGCGGAAGGCUCUGAUCUGGGGAUGGCCCUUGCCAGUGACAGUGACCUGGGCUGUCUUGGAGACUCCGAUUGCUCAUACCAGCCUCAGGCAAGGUUGUUUGUGCACUCGUGAAAUCAGACGUAUUAAAGUACUACAUUGAUCAUGGAUUUUGUUGAAUAGCCAAGAACAACAACAAAAGAAUGUUGAAAAUGAUGAGGGCGUGGCUCUACAUUGGGAAGGGAAAUAGGAGGCAUGAGACAGAGGAGAAUCCAGGACAAUUCUGUGAGAAAAUGUACUUGCACUCUGGUUUUUUGCGGAGGCCCCUGUGUGCUGGGAGGCUGGCUGGGAUGGGGAGCUGGUGGCAGAGAAUACUGUCUGUUUUAUUCCUCAUAACUGGAGAGAGAUGCAACAGAAGACUGGGGUCAUUAGGAACCAGUGGGCAGGUAGGGACAGGCGUUGGCGUGGACUAGAGCAGGUUCCCCUGAAGUUCUCCAGGGUAGAGGUGAAGGAGCUUCUAGAGCAAAGUUUGCCAGUUAAGGGGGAGCUGCUGUUUGGGCUGCUCUCCAAAGUGGAGAAUUUUCGUGUGUGCCUGGAGUGUUUCUAUUUGAGAGGUGGGAAGGUGAAUUAUUUACGAUUAAAUAUAUCCAUCUCUCCUCAGAUUCUGCAGAACUCGCAGACCCAAAAACAAAUUAGAAAUUGCUUUUCUCUUCUUGCUUAACCUAAAUUUCUUUGUAAAAGCUGAAGGAAAAUAUGAGUAAUUUUCUAAUAUAGUCAGUUACAGAGACAACAAAGAGAAAUAUUCAAGGAAAAAAAACACUAAUGUGCUUUGACUUCGUGUGUGUCUUAGCUGUAGACAGAAUUGGGACUUCCUAAUAUGGGUUUGUUCCAAUACAACCCCUCGAAAAGAUUUUCAUCAGCAAAACACACACCGGAGGAGCAGCUGCUGUGCAGUUGUCUCCUGCAAACCAUUUUCUCACUUCAUUGCUAGUUUUCACAGCAUCUUUCUUCUAACAGUUCUCCUUUUUUGAUCUGCAAACAACCUGGGAUUAUUUCUUUCUCUCCUGGUAAAUGAAAGAAAUGUAAAGCAGAUUCUAGAAUAGGUUUAGAUUGGUUUAUUCCAGGUCCCUGGAAUAAACCGGGCAUGGUGGCUCAGCGUUUUGAGAGGCUGAGGUGGGCAGAUCACCUGAGGUCGGGAGUUCAAGAUCAGCCUGGCCAACAUGGAGAAACCCCAACUCUAGCAAAAAAAAAAAAAAAAAAAAAAAAAAUUAAUUGGGUGUGGUGGCGGAUGCCUGUAAUCCCAGCUACUCAGGAGGCUGAGACAGGAGAAUCGCUUGAACCCAGGAGGUGGAGGUUUCGGUGAGUUGAGAUUGUGCCAUUGCACUUCAGCCUGGGCAACAAGAGUGAAACUCCAUCUCAAAAAGAAAGAAGUCUGUGUUAAAGGUUAAGUCACAAAUACAAAAAUACAAUAAAUAGAGAACUGCCUGGUUAACUGGGGGCUGAUUCCCAGAGAUACAACCUGGGGGAGCUUCCCUAGCAAGGUGGCUACUCCCUGCCAAGGUAACCACAGCUUUCUAACGAUAAGUAAAGUGUUUCUACUCAUAUCAUAGGGACCCUGCUAAAACAUGGCCCUUUUCUCUCUGCCAUCCAAAAAAACAUCAAGAAAGUAAGAAGGGGCGUUUCUGAGAGCAAACUAGGAAUCUUAGCAUAAUGCCUUCUCUCUAAUUAUGUUGGAAACAGGCUUUUAAAAAGAAAAAAAUCUGAGGAGAAGAUUACUAAAUAGAAUUCAACUAAAAUGGCUUUUGAUAUUCUGCAGCUUCAAAGCAUUUGUAUUGGGUAUAUGUUCUCAUGGAUUUUGUUUAAGUUAAAUUUGAAUGUCCCAUUCCUCUGAGAACUCAGAGAAAGCCAGGUUGAUUAAUAAGUAAUUAAGAGGCCAGGAACAGUGGCUCACACCUGUAAUUCCAGCACUUUGAGAGGCCAAGGUGGAUGGAACACCUGAGGUAAGGAAUUCAAAACCAGCCAGGUCAACAUGGUGCAACCCCACCUCUACUAAAAAUAUAAAAAUUAGCCAGGCGUGGUGGCUCACACCUGUAAUCCCAACUACUUGGGAGGCUGAGGCAGGAGAAUCGCUUGAACCAGGGAGGCAAAGGUUAGAGUGAGUGGAGAUCGUGCCAUCGCACUCCAUCAUGGGUGACGAAGUGAGUGAGACUCUGUCUCAAAAAAAAAAAAAAAAAAAGUAUUUAAGGCCAGAU